UUGUGCACACACCAGAGCAGCGCGACAAACAAGUGGGAAAUACGAAAAAACAAAAAACAAAAACAAAACAGUUGUCAGUUAUUCCACAUAAGUUAGUUUCAACCACUUAAAUGUAUUCGGAAGGGAAAGCAGAAGUGACCCGAAGCCUGCUGAUGUGGGUUUACUGUAACCGGACCGUCUGGGUUUUUUGAUAACACUGGAAACUCCUUGGAUUGAUGGAUGGAAAAUGGAAACUGAAUGGCCAGCCACUGAGAGAUCUGAUUGCUUUUUCAUCAGAGAUGGAUCUCGCCUGUUCCUUUUUCCUUGCACAAGUUCACCGGUGUGGUGUUUGUUUUUGCCACAUGACCACCAUCUAUACCAUCUAUCUUAUUUGCUUACUUUUUAGUUUUUUGUCAUAUUUUUUAAUGUAAUUUUUCCCAAAUAAAAAGUGAGGUGCA